CAGGGUGAGCCAGCGGCGCCUGCGAGAGGCUGUCCGAACGGGGCAACACACAGUGACUCUUCCACACAGUGUUCUUCUCGUGCCCCAUCACUUGCAGUUCAGGCACUGCCUAAUCCAGAGGUACUGUCUACACACCAAUUUUUAGGGCAAAGAGCAUGAGUGGGACAGGACAUUCUUCUUUCAAUCUUUUCUACUUCUCAUGGAUUUCUCCUAAGAAACUUCAGUGCAAGAGGAGCCUUGCCACAAUCUGGCAGCGUCACUGCUACAGGACUGAGCUUGAAGACAGCCCUGCUUUUUAUCCAGUGCUUUUCCACAAGGAUGUUUCAGGUAGGAAGGAGUGGCUAAGUUCCUCAAA
rnacentral:lncRNA from 1 species